rnacentral:lncRNA from 1 species
GUAUGCAUUGAAGGUAGUAUAGCAUAAAUCAUUACUUGAUACACAUUUUUAAUGUUCUAUACAUUGUUAAAUGCAUAUAUCUAUACACAAAAGCCAGUUGGCACCUUUCAUAUACUUUAUAUUGCAUGUUAAAAUGUAUAAUAGAAUAGAUUUACGAACUCAUCAAUAUAUAAACAACAAGAAUUUCAUCCCACAGCUGCAACUCUUCUAUGACAGGGUACCUGCACACAUUGUGUUAGGUUGGUUAGUUCUUAUUCUGAGAACCAAAUCCUAGUUGAACUAACGCAAUCAUAACAAGAAUAGUCAUCUACAUAUAAUGUGAACAAUGAAGUUUAAACUGACAUCAUAUCAAUUAACCGUCAUGCUUCCAAUUAACCGACAUGCUUUCAAAUUUAAGUCAUAUUGAUUGGGUCUAAAACUAAGAGGUGAGGGAGGAUAGAUAAGACACCUGUGUUUGAGCCCAGUGGGUAUUUUUGGUCCAAGACUCGGGGUACGUUUUGGAUAACAUUUGGGCCAGUACCUGUGGCCCUUUUUUAAUGCGAAGCCCACGAAGGGUGGCGAAGUCUGGCAACACGCGAGCUGGAGUUUUGCAAGGAUUCCGAUACCCCGCGGGAUUCGAUGUCCUCGCGGGAUCCUUUGUUUCAGUUCGUGUAGGAUUCUACAGUGCAUGGCGAGGUAGAGUUGGAAAUGGACUGUAGUACUCCGCGGGAUAGGAUCGCUUAGUGUUCGAGUUCGCGUACGACGCUACAGUAAGAUGAUGCGGGGCUGUGAGCGAGAUCUAGGCGAGGUCUGUUCUGGACACGUGUUGCACGGAUCUCGCGGCUCGCGAGCUGAUCGUAUCCUUGUGGACUUCUAAUUGCUGAGUCCGAAUGGAUUGUGAUUAGGUCUAUGCGAAUUGCUAUAUAAGGGAGCUUGACACAAAUCAAAGACACACAAUCAAUCAUACAAAACAAGUACAAAUCCUCGAGCAUCCUCGAAACCCUAAGUUCUAAGUGCACCUCGCCUUAGAUCUUAGAGCCCGUCUGGACUCACCUCUCCUCCCUAAUUGUUGCUCUGCUCGCUUCGAACAGUGAGUAUCGAUUCACAGGUGACUAGAUAGUUUGCUCGUAAUUCCUCGCCCGCGAGGUGACAUCGGAGCUCUACUUCGCCUGAUUAGAAGUCAAGAACGCGCACCGUUCUCGUUCCGCGUCCGCGCGGUGGCACGCCCCGCAAAUCUCCUUCUCUUUACUUUUGAGUCACCGGAGUUCCGACUCUGCCCCUGCUGAGACGCGUGGCCAAAACAUUGGCACGCCUAGUGGGACGGGGAGUAUAACAUUCUCGUCAUCAUUGGGAAGUCAGGCGGAUCCCCAUACGGGAGACCCUCGAUUUCUCGUUUGAAACACAAAUCACCGCGUUACCAGCCUUAUAACAGCGCGGCCUGUCGCUCACUCACGAAAGACCAAGUAUUAACUCGGUUCGGAAACCCAUAUUUCAACGAACCUACGAUGGCAGAACUAACACCCACUAGCAGCACUGGCCCCGUCACUCUAGCUGAAGACCAGAUAACGGCCCUGGUCGACCGCCUAACGGCUCACACCGACCAGGCAACCCGCCAAUUGCAGGAGGGUCUUGACUCCCUCACCCUGACUGUUAAGAAUCUAUCUGAAGUAGUCAUGAAGGAUAGAGAUAUCUGGCUUGCUAACCAAGAAAACCUUUCUAGGCUCAGCGAGGACUUUAACUUCCAUGCCGGUCAAGUCAGGGAGGACAAAGAUUUGGUGGAAGGUUCCCUUCAAAGAAUCCAAAAAGAACUGGAUCAGAGCAAGAUGACUUUCACAGAAACCCUGCAGCUUACCCGCGCAACCGUGGAUGAGCAAACCCGUCGCUUGGACGAGCAUGAUACCAAGCUACAAUUGCAGCAGGACGCUUCCUUCUUUGGAAGUAAGAAUGACAUAGAAAAGCUCGAGAAAUAUAAGGAGCAAAAUGAUAACUUGAGCUUAAGGGUCCUGCAAGUGGAAGACUGGAUGCGGUCUCAGGCACCAAAGAAUCAUACUAAUGAACUUAAUUAGUUCAAGUGCAACUGAGGGAUGAAGGUAUAUUCCACCUAAUGAACGGCCCUAGGGGGAAUCCGAAAGUCGGGGCCCAGAAGACUCCCCAAUUCACAUUGGGAGCCAGUUCGUCAAAGACACCACCCCUUCUACCCACGACAGGCAACCCUAGAGUCGCACUUGGGGGCGCCGGUGUCUUCCCAUCUCAAGGGAUCGGGACACUAGAUGACCCAGUUAUAGCUUAUUCCAGUUCGACCCUUAAGAACAUCGGGCAGACCCCUAGCCUCUCUGCAUGGCACGGCCACGAUCAGGGGGCAGAAUCCACACCAGUAACGGCAGCCGAUUGGCGCCAGCUCAUCUCGAGCAUAGUCAAGGAGCAGACCGGAAAAGGUGAUGCUAGCUUGCAUUAUCGUGAUCCCUAUCCUGAUAGCGUGGCACAAUAUCCCUUCCCUCAUGGGUUUAAGAAUAUUGUCUUCACCACUUUCUCCGGGGAGACAAGGGAAGAUGCAGCAACACAUGGCCCGUUUUAAGGUCCAAUGCGGCUAAUACGGGAAUGAUGAUAUGCUCAAACUCAAACUCUUCGGGACUUCUCUGUUCGGGGCUGCUUUCACCUGGUACUCCAGAUUGAAGCCUGGGUCAAUAGCAGAUUGGCCCACUAUGGAAAGGCUCUUCCGAGAAACGUACGGCACGAUUGAGCCUGAAGUUGGCCUCGACUCCCUCACACAGAUGAGCCAGCAGAGCAUGGAGUCCGGAGUUUCUUUCCUCCAACGCUUUAAGAUCCAGCAAGCCAAGUGUGAUUACCUGCUACUUGAGCAGGAAUCCAUUAAGUUGGCUAUUAGAGGUCUGGAGCACCGCCAGCGGUUGAAACAUCAUGGGGAGCGCUUUAAUUCCAUGGGUGACCUGAUUAACAAAGUCGGCAGCUACGAGCUAAUCCUGAACGAGUUGGACGACAAAACAAAUGCUUCCAAAGGAACUUACAUAUCAGGGAAGAACCGGAUAGUGGGGAACAUACAAACCCCUACUCAUGAUCCAUAUUAUCAAAGACCUGAGGAAGUUCAUACGAAUCAGGACCUGGAUGACAUUGGCAGAGUAGAAUUGAUUGGCAAGCCAUUAGCUCAUAAGUUGAAGAACCUGAAGAUGACAUGUAAGCCAAUCACCAUCCAGUCCUUUGCGUGGACCAAGCCGGAGUACGAGUCGUACACCUAUGAUGCUAAGAACGCCCAUUUGGUCUUUAAUGACCUGAUAGAGGCGAGAUAUGUGCGCCUGGAUCAUAAGAUCCCGCCCAAGGAAGAGCUGAAGGACAAGAAGUACUGCUCCUUCCACAAUGUUUACAAUCAUGACACCAAAGAUUAUGUCAAGCUUCGAGACCAGCUGCAGACAUGGCUGAACUCAGGCGAGCUAAAGAUGAAAACACCGGGUAGUACGGCCUCAUUGGUUGAUAUAGACCAUUUCCCGCCUGUAGUUGGCAUGGUCGAGGUAAACUGGGCCAAUCAGACCAAGGACGACGAUCGACGCCGGGCACCUAAAAGGGGGCCGCGAGGAAAGUGACGAUGGUGCCCGCCGGCCACGUCGCCAAUACACCUACAACGAAGAUCUUGCACAUGAGAUUUUAGACGAUCUCAUCGACGACGGGCUCGUCACAGUGGUCAAUUUCUUGCCUUACAUCGAAUAUAAGGAGAGGGGCAUUCACUGCAAGUUUCAUAAUAGCUGGGGGCACAGAACCAGCGAAUGCCAACAGCUUAGAGACCAGGUUUAAGACUGGCUCAACCUCGGGUAUAUUCGCUCUGAGAAUAAGGGCGACUUCAUGUUAUUCACAAACUCCUGCAAUGUGGCUCUUGAGGAAGCGACCAUUAAUAGGAUUGCGAUGAAUAGUCCCGUCCAAGUCGCGCAGGUGGUAUGCCCCCUUGGGAAGUAUACGAUGAAUAAUAAAGGGGCAUUCCCAUCGAGCGGACCACUUGCCCCGACCAUCGGUUUUUUCCCCAAGUGGGAGUAUCGCGCGCCACACUUUCUAGCCCUCAGCAUAGCUCCGUCCGCGCGUGACCUUAUCAUACGAACGUGCGAUGCGUUGUUUCUCGAGGACAAGAUUGUUGAAAGCGAUGACGCGGUACUCGUCAAGAUCUUCAAGCUCCUGCCACAUGGCUUGGACGUAAUCCUCGCCAAGUAGUUGGUGCUGUUCCUGAACGCGGAGUGAAGCGAUAUUGAUCUCAAGGGGAAGGACGGCAUCAUGACCGUACAUGAGAGCGUACAGGGUGGUAUCCGUCGGGCCGCGCUUUGAAGUGCGGUAGGCUUACACCUUGUGGGCCUACCGCAUCGGUUUUUUCCAUCGAGCGGACCACUUACCCCGACCAUCGGUUUUUUCCCCAAGUGGGAGUACCGCGCGCCACACUUUCUGGCCCUCAGCAUGGCUCCGUCCACGCGUGACCUUAUCAUACGAACGUGCGAUGCGUUGUUUCUCGAGGACAAGAUUGUUGAAAGCGGUGACGCGGUGCUCGUCAAGAUCUUCAAGCUCCUGCCACAUGGCUUGGACGUAAUCCUCGCCAAGUAGUUGGUGCUGUUCCUGAACGCGGAGUGAAGCGAUAUUGAUCUCAAGGGGAAGGACGGCAUCAUGACCGUACAUGAGAGCGUACGGGGUGGUAUCCGUCGGGCCGCGCUUUGAAGUGCGGUAGGCCCACAAGGUGUGGUAGAGUUCCUCAUGCCAGACACGCGGGUUCAACUCCAACAUCUUGCGGAGGAUGCCAAGGAUGACCUUAUUACUAGCCUCCGCCUGGCCGUUGGACUGUGCAUAAUAUGGCGUAGAGUGGAGAAGCUUGAUUCCGUAGUCGUUUAAGUACUUAACAACUGAAUCAGCCAUGAAAGCUGCCCCCCUGUCUGUAACGAUGCAUUCCGGGAUACCAAAGCGGGAGAUGAUAUUACGGAAAAUAAAGUUGCGAACCGAGUUGGCGGAGGCAACCUUGAGUGGUUCGGCCUCGACCCAUUUGGUAAAGAAAUCGGUGGCGACGAUAAUGAACUUAUGCUGCUCAGAAGAAUGGGGAUGAAUGAUGCCAACGAAAUCUAUCGCCCAACCGCGACCCGGCCAAGGUUUAAUAAUAGGCUGUAACGGGAUGUUGGGAAUGUGUUGCACUGGUCCGUGAGCCUGGCAGUCUUGGCAACCUCUGGCGAAGGCAAUACAGUCUUUCAGAAUGGUUGGCCAGUAGUACCCAUGGCGACGGAUCAACCAUCGCAUUUUUGGCCCGGCCUGGUGUGAGCCGCAAACCCCACAAUGAACUUCGCGCAUGAUACGUUUAGCUUCGUUCUCAUACACGCAGCGGAAAUCAUUUCCGUCUUCCCCACGCCGCCGGAGUGCGCCAUUGUGUAAAACAAAGUUUAAGGCGAGGAAACGUAUUUGCCUGGAGUGAGCGGCAUCGUUGGAGCGAUACCUCCUUCGUGUUGUUCUGCAUGGCUGAUGUAGAACUUCCUCCAUACUCCAUACGAGCCUUUUCGACUUGGUCAAGUACAUGCUCUCUCGCCCUAUCUUGCGGGGACGCAUCGGCAAGUGGAUCUUAGCCAUGUCCGAAUUCUCGUUGCAAUAUGUUCCGCAAAAGGCAGUAAAAGGACAGGCAAUAGCAGACUUUCUCGCUCAUCACCCACCCUCAGAGCUCACGGCGUUUCGCGAGUUGGAAUUCGCUACCGUGACACUCGCUCCAUGGACCCUGUACUUUGAUGGUUCGCGGACUGACACUACAGCCGGAGCUGGGAUAGCCAUAGCCAAUCCCGCCGGAGAUCGCUUCUCCUACUCGUUCCAGCUCGAUUUCAAAUGUACCAACAACCAGGCUGAGUACGAGGCGCUGAUCAUCGGCCUAGAGAUUUUGUUGGAUUUAGGAGUCCGCGAGGUUCAGAUCUUUGGCGAUUCUUUGUUGGUCGUUAACCAGUUGGUGGAAAAGUUUAAGUGCUAAAGCUCGUCAAUUGAGCCAUACCUGCGCAAGGCAUUUGAGGUGUUGGAUCGAUUUGACGACGUCUACAUCGAGCACAUUCCACGCGAGUUCAAUUUCGCCGCCAACGAGCUCGCCCAAGUAGCGUCCGGUCUCAGCCUGCGCGACGGCGUGCGCGAAUGUUUGCUCAAAAUCGAACGCCGUACGCUUCCCUCUUUCAUCGCUAGGGGGCAAUUUCAGGCCGACACCCCUGAAGUUGCGGCCUUGGACCCUAUCGACGAGGAUUGGCGGCUACCAUUUAUCGCCUACCUCCAGAACCCCAACGAUGCCGCUCACUCCAGGCAAAUACAUUUCCUCGCCUUAAACUUUGUUUUACGCAAUGGCGAACUCCGGCGGCGUGGGGAAGACUGAAAUGAUUUCCGCUGCGUGUAUGGGAACGAAGCUAAACGUAUCAUGCGCGAAGUUCAUUGUGGGGUUUGCGGCUCGCACCAGGCCGAGCCAAAAAUGCGAUGGUUGAUCCGUCGCCAUGGGUACUACUGGCCAACCAUUCUGAAAGACUGUAUUGCCUUCGCCAGAGGUUGCCAAGACUGCCAGGCUCACGGACCAGUGCAACACAUUCCCAACAUCCCGUUACAGCCUAUCAUUAAACCUUGGCCGGGUCGCGGUUGGGCGAUAGAUUUCGUUGGCAUCAUUCAUCCCCAUUCUUCUGAGCAGCAUAAGUUCAUUAUCGUCGCCACCGAUUUCUUUACCAAAUGGGUCGAGGCCGAACCACUCAAGGUUGCCUCCGCCAACUCGGUUCGCAACUUUAUUUUCCGUAAUAUCAUCUCCCGCUUUGGUAUCCCGGAAUGCAUCGUUACAGACAGGGGGGCAGCUUUCAUGGCUGAUUCAGUUGUUAAGUACUUAAACGACUACGGAAUCAAGCUUCUCCACUCUACGCCAUAUUAUGCACAGUCCAACGGCCNNNNNNNNNNNNNNNNNNNNGCAAGAUGUUGGAGUUGAACCCGCGUGUCUGGCAUGAGGAACUCUACCACACCUUGUGGGCCUACCGCACUUCAAAGCGCGGCCCGACCGGAUACCACCCCGUACGCUCUCAUGUACGGUCAUGAUGCCGUCCUUCCCCUUGAGAUCAAUAUCGCUUCACUCCGCGUUCAGGAACAGCACCAACUACUUGGCGAGGAUUACGUCCAAGCCAUGUGGCAGGAGCUUGAAGAUCUUGACGAGCACCGCGUCACCGCUUUCAACAAUCUUGUCCUCGAGAAACAACGCAUCGCACGUUCGUAUGAUAAGGUCACGCGCGGACGGAGCUAUGCUGAGGGCCAGAAAGUGUGGCGCGCGGUACUCCCACUUGGGGAAAAAACCGAUGGUCGGGGCAAGUGGUCCGCUCGAUGGGAAGGCCCCUUUAUUAUUCAUCGUAUACUUCCCAAGGGGGCAUACCACCUGCGCGACUUGGACGGGACUAUUCAUCACAAUCCUAUUAAUGGUCGCUUCCUCAAGCGCCACAUUACAGGAGUUUGGGAACGCGAGGAUCCUCCACCUCCCCUAAGCCCCAUCGCCACUGUCAAUAGUGCUACGCGCCAUCGCGUUCUCGCUCCGCCGCCUAACACUAGGGGGCAACCCGGGAUAGAAGACUGAUAGAGUACGUUUUAACAUACCAGCCUAAAAAGGGCAGUAUAAGAUUGGGGCCUAUUCCAGAGGUCCUAAAUAAGGAUAACUCUAUUUUUCUUCAUUUUCUGUAAACGUGCAAAGUCUAAACGCAAAUGCCAAUACAAGAUUGGGGCCUAUUCCAGAGGCCCUAAAAAACAAUAAAUUCAUUUAUUUUGCCCUUUUUGGCGUUGUUUCAAUACAAGUUUCGAACAUCGGCUUUGCGGCCGAAGCAACUACAUUGACAGAAAGGGUGAAAUUAGACUAUGUUUACAAACAAAGGCAUAGAUCUACAGAUAUUGGAAGCCUCAACCCGCAUAUCUUGCAGGGUUGAAGAAGAGACUGCCGCCGCAUCCUUCGUUUAAAGUUGGCAAAUGUCCCGCUUCUUUGGACCAGCACGAGCCUUGACACCGGCCCGGACCUAAGACAAAUUGUUGGGAAGCUAGAGGUCCACUGGACCAGCGUCCCUCAUGCUACCGGUCAUGCCUGGAAGGUGCUUGAAAGGCACUGACCAGAACCUGAAGCGCAAGCGGAUGCGGAGCCUCGAGAGCCUCACAUUUGGACAGAAUAGCCGGUGCAAGGCAAAAGGUACCCAACCAUUAGUUCGUCCAAACAAAGGCUUGACCUGAGAGUAGAUUUUCAGAAUCAGAAAAAACGAAGAGUGAAAAUGUGAGGUGGGGGCUUUGCUUUAAGAAGGGACAAGAGGAUGUACAGAAGGGUAUAAGAGCCCAUGGCAAGGGGGCAAAGACUUAACUGGUACUUCGCCCCGGCCAAGCGUUUCUUUUUAUAGGUGAGAAGGGUAAUUUUCCUUUCAACAGAUGUCCUCCAUGCAGCGAUUUGCUCCGAGAUAUGAGCUUUGGAGAUAAGGUCGGACGCGUUGUUCCAUAAUGACUACCCGCGUUCCAAGCGAAUAGUUGCAUUGGAAACCCCCACCAAAUCUUGGAAGAAGAUUUUUUCCUGGGAAGGCAGUUCUUACACAAGAAUUGACAAGAGCGGGAAAGAUUUAAUUUAAUAAUAAUAUUAUAAAAGGUUCGUUCAAAGGGGGCAAAGCGCUGAUCGGGCCUAAACCCGCCUAGAGGCCCUAUACAAAUCUAUGAGAAGGCCUUCUAAGGCCAACUCUUCAACAUCUGCCUGGGCUUGGGCUUCGUCGGCAGCAGCAGCAGCCGAGUCCAAAGCUUCCUAGGUCUCUUCCGCGGCCUGCACACGGGUUUCUGCCUCUUCAGCUCGGGCCAGGUUCUGGCGAGCUUGAGCAAGCUGAGCUUGCAGCUCCGCUAUUUGAGCCUCCAGGUCCUCCAUUUGCCGAGCAUAGACAGUGCAUGGGUUCUCUGAAGAUGCCUCAGGGAUUUCAGCGUCAUCAAGCUCGGCUAAAAGGGCUGCCAUCUGAUCGUCUAAGGCUUGGCGGACUUUCUCGUGAGCAGCCGACUGGGCACCGACAUCUUGAACUCGACGAGCCUGCAGCUCGACAGCGUCGGUGAGUUCCAACACAUGGUCUAGAGCAGGGUUGCUCCCAACGAGGUGCCGAAUCAGAGCUUCAUGGGCCUCGCGGGCGCGCCUCACCAAGUCGAAUACGUUCAUGUGGGGACCUUGGCGCAGUAACCCGUGAAAGAAAGCCCAGGCCAGGCGAAUGGGCUCUGGAUCGGCAGGAGGGGCGGUCCGGGUAGCCAAAGAAGAAGCCGCCUCGCCAGAUGUUCUCGUUGGGGCCGGAGUGGUUGGUUCAACCUCUGCAACUGCCUCAAUCUCUGGAACAGGCGGUGGGACCUCAAACCGAGUAGGGACUGUCGGUUCUUCGGUGGUCUGAGCCGCUGAGUCUGGUUGCAGAGGAGAGAGCUCAAGCACCGGUUGGAAGUCCUUUGGCGGAACCGCCGAGGGGGCAGCAAAAUCAGAAAGCAGGGUGGUCUGGCCGAGAUCUUCAUCUUGAGUAGGAGCCGAGGUAGGCUCUGGAGGCGGGCCAGUUUCGUCUAGAGCGUCGGUUGGAGAAGGGGGUCGCACUGCGACUUCCUCUGUAACCAUGAUUUGAUCCCCGACGAUUGGUUCCGAGGCUGGGACUUCAACUAUCGCUGUUGCUCCUUCAAUGACAGCGAGGCGAGGUCGGAUGCAGCGGCGAACCUGUCAAAGGCAAGGUUAGCAAAUCGUUUGUUGGCUUUAAGGAGUUUGGUUCGAAGAAGGGUCGCUUACCAAGGCGUGCUCUUGCCGAUAUCGUUCAUCCUCUAGCAGCUUUUCUUCGUCCUCGAUAGGGCGCUUCCGCGAGCUUUCGCCGCUCGUUGGCUGGGUAACGACGGGAGCGGUCUUACCGUCAUGGCCCGCCGCGGGUUCCUCUUGGGCAUGUGCUUUUCCUUUGUCUCCGGCACCCUCAGGUCUUCUGAUAGUUCUCCGGCGGGGGGCAGACUGUAAAGAUAGACAGGAAAGUUAGGAGGAAACAUUUCGUCGAGGUGGUAAAGGCGGUAUGGAAUUUACACAGUUAGUGGCAUACCUCGGGUGUGGGAUCGCGUUCUCGAAUGACGAUCCCCGUCGAGCGACGAGUAGCGGGAACUGGUGGGAGCGCAGGCCUAGACCCUGUCGCAGCCUUUGAACCGCUCUCUUCACGGUCGCGCUGGGCAUCAAGAAUGACGCGAUCUGACUCGCCCAAAGUGUCGUAUAGGGGAUAAAAGAUGGCAGCAAAGACAGCAUCAUCUAGGAACCCCCAAUGGUUGUCGGACAAAGAUCGCCACCAAGAAAGAUAGGCGGGGUCAACGCCCAGUGAAGGCUCGAUCUCGAGCAAGUCAGGAGUGAGAGGGAAAAUGUUCUGCAGCGGGGUGACCCGGUCGGACUCGCCAAUCUUCUUCCAGGAGGUGUACUUGUUCACCGAAUGGAAGAGUGGAUAAGGGAUCCCUUGAAAGAAGCCGAGUUGUCUGGCGAAGUGGUUGGGGGCAUAUAGCUCGAAGCCUUGUUCAUCCUCGGCGAGCUGAAGGUCGCAGCAUGAGGAUGCUCUCAUGAAGACUGUCUUGGCGUCUAAAUCCGAAUCAGAGCGCGGGAAGAAGCCCGUUGAUAAGACUUCAGGGUGGCGCCGGCGAACCAUCAUGUCUGUGGUGGGAGGCGGUUCGAGUUGGUUGUACAGGAUGGAGAGGCUGGCGAAGAAGGACAGGGGAGUCCGGUUCGCAGCGUUCCUGCACACCGCGAAGCCAAACAGUUGGUCCUCGGGCAGGAAUUCCAGCGGGGCUCGCCGGAAGAGCGGGAAGUACAGUUGCGUCUAUAAAUCCAGGAUCCACAGAGGGCCAGCAGAGAGAUGGAAGGGUCUUAGGGACAGCAUGUGCAGGGUCCGGUAGAGCGCGCCCAGCACGGGCUGCCCUAGCCCUACUUCGAUUCCAUUGUAGAGUGCCUCGGCCAGCUUUGUCCAUUUCCCUGUAGGUUUAUGAGCACUGCCACAGAAUAUGAAUUUAUCAAGCCAGUACUCAAGGAAAGCGAUACCUCCUUCGUGUUGUUCUGCAUGGCUGAUGUAGAACUUCCUCCAUACUCCAUACGAGCCUUUCAGGGCGCGGCGGGCCCCCAGGUUACAGGAGUGCGUAAACUCGGUCGAUGCAAAGUCUCCUGGCGCAUAUGGCUUUGCAUGAAUCGACAGCCCGGUGAUGGCGAGGAUGUCCAGUAGAGAAAUGCCCAUUUGCCCGAAAGGAAAAUCGAAAGUGUUGGUGGCACCGUUCCAUAAGCAGGUCGCGGCAGCAAUGGGUGCUCGAUCAGCAUGAGGAGGCAGUGAGAAGCUCAAGGCAAUGGCUUCGUUGAUGCCGGUUGCUUCCCAGAUCGCUUGGUCGGUCUGGAGGCGAGCCGUGUACCAUGCCCGGUCCUCCGCGGUGACGCUGGGCCAUUCCCCGACCCGGAUAUUUGUAUGAGAGCGGGCUUGGUGAAACCAGGAGGCGAAGUUUCCCGGUUCGCGACGCUGGGCAAGGAUUGGUCGGCGCACGGAGGCGGUAUAGUGGUUCAGAUCAGCGGCGAACGGAGGUUGUGAAGGAGUCGGACCGAGCAGGGCUGCCCCUAUUUCAAGGAAAUAGAUGGGUGUUCCUUGAGGAGGGUUGUUGGCAAAACGGCGAGCGAGGCCGGUCGACCAAGAACUCGCCGCCGUGAGGUUAAGGUUUGGAUUGUUAGCAGUUGGUUUGGGAGCCAUUGUUUCUGGGCGGAGUGAGUCUGGUGGUGAAGUUCUGUUGGUUGCAGAAAAAAGGGAAAAGUUUGAUUGGGAAGCGAUGGUGAGAUGUGGGGACCCGCAUCGAGGUUUAUAAAGGAGACGGACCGUAAAGUCUUUUCAAUCAGUAGCCGUAAUGAGGAGACGCGAUGACGACCGAAACGUCAGCGCGUUUCAAAUUUCAAACAGUCGCAAUGAUGAAGGGAGGCGAUGAUGACGAAACGUCAGCACCUUUUGAAUUGCGAAUUCCCGUAAAUGGCUCAUUUAGGCCUUUUCGCUUAUCCGUUGCGAAAUGGAUUAAGCUCAAGGCCUAGGGGGCAAUGUUUGAGCCCAGUGGGUAUUUUUGGUCCAAGACUCGGGGUACGUUUUGGAUAACAUUUGGGCCAGUACCUGUGGCCAUUUUUUAAUGCGAAGCCCACGAAGGGUGGCGAAGUCUGGCAACACGCGAGCUGGAGUUUUGCAAGGAUUCCGAUACCCCGCGGGAUUCGAUGUCCUCGCGGGAUCCUUUGUUUCAGUUCGUGUAGGAUUCUACAGUGCAUGGCGAGGUAGAGUUAGAAAUGGACUGUAGUACUCCGCGGGAUAGGAUCGCUUAGUGUUCGAGUUCGCGUACGACGCUACAGUAAGAUGAUGCGGGGCUGUGAGCGAGAUCUAGGCGAGGUCUGUUCUGGACACGUGUUGCACGGAUCGCGCGGCUCGCGAGCUGGUCGUAUCCUUGUGGACUUCUAAUUGCUGAGUCCGAAUGGAUUGUGAUUAGGUCUAUGCGAAUUGCUAUAUAAGGGAGCUUGACACAAAUCAAAGACACACAAUCAAUCAUACAAAACAAGUACAAAUCCUCGAGCAUCCUCGAAACCCUAAGUUCUAAGUGCACCUCGCCUUAGAUCUCAGAGCCCGUCUGGACUCGCCUCUCCUCCCUAAUUGUUGCUCUGCUCGCUUCGAACAGUGAGUAUCGAUUCACAGGUGACUAGAUAGUUUGCUCAUAAUUCCUCGCCCGCGAGGUGACACCAGAGCUCUACUUCGCCUGAUUAGAAGUCAAGAACGCGCACCGUUCUCGUUCCGCGUCCGCACGGUGGCACGCCCCGCAAAUCUUCUUCUCUUUACUUUUGAGUCACCGGAGUUCCGACUCUGCCCCUGCUGAGACGCGUGGCCAAAACAACGUGAACUAGAGCUUAAUCAAGUAAUUGGGACAGCUACACAACUCCUUAUUCACCCAAAGGGUUGCUGGUUACUGAGAAGUCACUAUCCAUAUGGGUUCUCAUUAUUACUAAACCACUCUUCCACUCAAGGCGUAUGGUCAUUGGGUGACAUAGAACUUGGCCUCAGCCCAAAAGAGAAUUAAAAGUGCAAUGUAGUCAUGAACACCCUGUAGUCAUACAUACAUCUUAAUACCAUACUUUAGUUCAUAUUUCCUAUCAAAUUUCACUACCAAUCCUUCUAACCACUGCUACAAGAUUCUGAACCUCAAACAUACUCAACCUCAAGCUUUACUCAUACUCCUCAGUUACAGUAAAAUACAUACCCACCCUCACACUUUCUCAUAUAGAUGACUAAUGAGAAUAGUAAUGCUGAUAAAUAAGAAAAAUACUAAGAUUGUGAGGACGGAAUCAUCAGUAAAACUUGUUCUGUAAAGUCUUCAAAUGCAAGAAAGUGCAUGUAAGCAAUUCAGGGUUUUAUGUCCUAUGAAAAAAGAAACUCUCAUCAAUUCAGGAUUUAACCUCUACCUCAUAGCAUUGGGUAUCCAUUGACCCAAUUUUUAGCCAUACAGCAAACAUCUCAAUUUUCUCGUUCCAUUCAAACAAAACACCACAAACCCCUACCAUCAAUCAACCAGAAUGUCACAAAAGUACAAAUUCAUAGCCUCUAUCAACCAAAUCAAACUCCUAACCUACAGUUCAAAUCAAUCGAAGGACAAUUAACAGA